rnacentral:rRNA from 1 species
CGACGCCGCGUGGGGGAUGAAGGGCCUUCGGGUUGUAAACCCCUUUCACCAGGAGCGAAUUCAGACGGUACCUCGGGGAAGAAUCGCCGGACUAACCUACGUGC